rnacentral:rRNA from 1 species
AGAAUCAACGCUGGCGGCGUGCCUAACACAUGCAAGUCGAACGCGAAAGCCCCGCAAGGGGUAAGUAGAGUGGCAAACGGGUGAGUAACACGUGGGUGACCUGCCUUCGAGUGGGGGAUAACGUCCCGAAAGGGACGCUAAUACCGCAUGACAUCCUGUUCUUAGACGGACGGAGAUCAAAGCUGGGGAUCGCAAGACCUGGCGCUUGAAGAGGGCCCGCGCCUGAUUAGCUAGUUGGUGAGGUAACGGCUCACCAAGGCUACGAUCAGU